ACCUGGCUGGCUCAGUUGGUAGAGCGUGUGACUCUCGAUCUCAGGGUUGUGAGUUCCAGCCCCAUGCUGGGCA